rnacentral:rRNA from 1 species
CCUACGGGUGGCAGCAGUGAGGAAUAUUGGUCAAUGGGCGGAAGCCUGAACCAGCCAAGUCGCGUGAGGGAUUAAGGCCCUGCGGGUCGUAAACCUCUUUUGCCGGGGAGCAGUGGUCCGGACGAGUCCGGGCCGGGAGAGUACCCGGAGAAAAAGCAUCGGCUAAUCCGUGCCAGCAGCCGCGGUAAUACGGAGGAUGCGAGCGGUUUCCGGAUUUAUUGGGUUUAAAGGGUGCGUAGGCGGGCAUUUAAGCCGGCGGUCAAAUGUCGGGGCUCAACCCCGGCCUGACGUCGGAACUGGGUGCCUUGAGUGGGCGAGAAGUAUGCGGAAUGCGUGGUGUAGCGGUGAAAUGCAUAGAUAUCACGCAGAACCCCGAUUGCGAAGGCAGCAUACCGGCGCCCGACUGACGCUGAGGCACGAAAGUGCGGGUAUCGAACAGGAUUAGAUACCCUUGUAGUC